rnacentral:tRNA from 1 species
GGCGUAGCUCAGGGGCACGGCAUCCACCUUGCAUGCAGACGGUCCCAGGUUCAAUUCUCGGCAUCUCCA